AUAAACAAGCGUGUGUUCAUUCAGCCAUCUUUAUUCCUAACUGAACUUCCUUUGUCCCCUGAUGGCAGCAUAAUCAUCUCAUUACAGAAGACCAGGAUGUUUGACAGUCUAAAAAAAUCUAAUAACUGAAAUCACAGGAAUCUUGAAAUGGAAACAAGGUAGUGUCAUCUGGUAGAAGUGUCAUCUGUAGAGAACAGUUUAUUCCUCACCAAUUCAGGCACAUACUAAGACAACUCGUUUGACCAUUAUGAUUAAUAUGGGGUCUUUAGCAAGCACUUAAGAUGUCCCAAGUCCAAACUGAACCCUGGCCCCUUACUUAUGCCCUUGUUGAUGCCCCCACUAGAAUAUUUAAAUGGAUGGAUCAGUAUUUAAACAAAAACCUUGGAGUAAGGGCUAAUGAUCCGUUUGGAAUGGGGCCACCAGACUCAGCUCCACCACUGUCUUGACUAGUUCACAGCUUCAUGUCUUAUGAGAAUGUCAUAUCAUCAUACCAAACAAUAUCAUCACAGCUAGCACAGAACGUUCCCUAAAGGUUAUCUUUUGGUUGUUUGAAAUAACUUCCACAGUGUUCUGGGAACCAAUAUCUGUUAGCUGGGAUCACAUUUAAAUCCACACAGCCCGCGCAGCACAGCCGUGCAGGUUGAGCCCCUUUAGUACAGGGACACAGCCGUGCAGGUUGAGCCCCUUUAGUACAGGGACACAGCCCGCGCAGCACAGCCGUGCAGGUUGAGCCCCUUUAGUACAGGGACACAGCCGUGCAGGUUGAGCCCCUUUAGUACAGGGACACAGCCCGCGCAGCACAGCCGUGCAGGUUGAGCCCCUUUAGUACAGGGACACAGCCCGCGCAGCACAGCCGUGCAGGUUGAGCCCCUUUAGUACAGGGACACAGCCCGCGCAGCACAGCCGUGCUGGUUGAGCCUCUUUAGUACAGGGACACAGCCCACGCAGCACAGCCGUGCAGGUUGAGCCCCUUUAGUACAGGGACACAGCCCGCGCAGCACAGCCGUGCAGGUUGAGCCCCUUUAGUACAGGGACACAGCCCGCGCAGCACAGCCGUGCAGGUUGAGCCCCUUUAGUACAGGGACACAGCCGUGCAGGUUGAGCCCCUUUAGUACAGGGACACAGCCCGCGCAGCACAGCCGUGCAGGUUGAGCCCCUUUAGUACAGGGACACAGCCCGCACAGCACAGCCGUGCAGGUUGAGCCCCUUUAGUACAGGGACACAGCCCACGCAGCACAGCCGUGCAGGUUGAGCCC